rnacentral:rRNA from 1 species
GUCUGUAGUCCUAUUGCCCUUAAAUGUGUCCAAUCUUUCUUGAUCUUGGAAACUAAACAGGGUCAGGCCUGGUCGGUAUUUGGAGAGAAACUGCUUGGAGAUUCUAGGCUCUGUAGGUG